GAGGACCUACGGAGGGCAGCAGUGGGGGAUAUUGCACAAUGGGGGCAACCCUGAUGCAGCGACGCCGCGUGAGCGAUGGAGUACUUCGGUAUGUAAAGCUCUGUCAGCAGGGAAGAGAAUGACGGUACCUGACCAAGAAGCCCCGGCUAAAUACGUGCCAGCAGCCGCGGUAAUACGUAUGGGGCAAGCGUUAUCCGGAUUUACUGGGUGUAAAGGGAGCGUAGACGGCUGUGCAAGCCAGAUGUGAAAGCCCGGGGCUCAACCCCGGGACUGCAUUUGGAACUGUGUGGCUGGAGUGUCGGAGG
rnacentral:rRNA from 1 species